GUGUUUUUCCAAGCACUAGUACCAGCAUCUAAGUCUACCUCCGCAGCAAAUUCUGGUCAGUAUUUGAUUAAUUGUUUGGCUCACAGGUUGAUUAGUCAGCCUCUGCUACAGGUGCUGCAAAGGGAAAUUAUGUCUAGCAUAAGACACAAUCUCUGACAUUGAAGAACUUACAAUUGAAUUGAGGAAAUAACAUAUCUCCGGACAACUUAACAAGGCAGCUGCUUCCAUCUCCAUGUCAACUUCAUUCUUUCUUACUGCAGAUCAUCUGUCAAUUCAUAGUUCAUAUCAGGACCACCAUCAACUCUUACAUGCCAUAUGCAACACAGAGGAGACAUUCCUAUUUUUCUACAUCCUUUCUAAAAAGCACUGGUAAAGAAUCCUGAUAGUCACAAUUAGAUGUUUACCCACAGAUUAUUAGUUCUGUAUAUGAAGAUGCAGUUGGCCAAUAUAGAUAUGAUCACUGAGACUCCA
ensembl:lncRNA novel transcript